rnacentral:pre_miRNA from 1 species
ACAUGAGGAUGAUGAUGAUGAUGAUGAUGAUGAUGAUGAAGAGGAGGUGGAGGAUCAUCAUCAUCAUCAUCAUCAUCAACUAUU